UGUUUGCGCAUGCAAAAGGUUCAGAUUGUAGAUUUGUAUCAGUUCAGUUAGAUCUAGAAUCUUCUCUAGAAGUGGCCAUUGCUCCGCGAGACACAGUACAGAACAGAUCAGACAGAACAGAACCGUCCUGUUCUGAAAUACAGCUCAAGAUGUAGAAAGUUACAGUUUUCUCGUCUAAUUACCGUCCAGUACAGUUCAAUAAACCGACAGAAACCAAGAGCAAUAAAGUUUUGAUUACAAAUUACUGUGCACUAGUUAA